UACAGAGGUCUCAAGCGUUGUUCGGAUUCAUUGGGCGUAAAGGGUGCGUAGGUGGCGCUGUAAGUCGGGUGUGAAAUUUCGGAGCUUAACUCCGAAACUGCAUUCGAUACUGCGGUGCUUGAGGACUGGAGAGGAGACUGGAAUUCAUGGUGUAGCAGUGAAAUGCGUAGAGAUCAUGAGGAAGACCAGUGGCGAAGGCGGGUCUCUGGACAGUUCCUGACACUGAGGCGCGAAGGCCAGGGGAGCAAACGGG
rnacentral:rRNA from 1 species